rnacentral:rRNA from 1 species
UUGACCUCAAAUCAGGUAGGACUACCCGCUGAACUUAAGCAUAUCAAUAAGCGGAGGAAAAGAAACUAACAAGGAUUCCCUUAGUAACUGCGAGUGAAGAGGGAAAAGCUCAAAUUUAAAAUCUGGCAGUGUUUCACUGUCCGAGUUGUAACCUAGAGAAG